rnacentral:rRNA from 1 species
AGAGUUUGAUCAUGGCUCAGGACGAACGCUGGCGGCGUGCUUAACACAUGCAAGUCGAACGGAAAGGCCCAGCUUGCUGGGUACUCGAGUGGCGAACGGGUGAGUAACACGUGGGUGAUCUGCCCUGAACUUUGGGAUAAGCCUGGGAAACUGGGUCUAAUACCGGAUAUGACCUUGGAGUGCAUGCUCUGGGGUGGAAAGCUUUUGCGGUUCAGGAUGGGCCCGCGGCCUAUCAGCUUGUUGGUGGGGUAAUGGCCUACCAAGGCGACGACGGGUAGCCGACCUGAGAGGGUGAUCGGCCACACUGGGACUGAGACACGGCCCAGACUCCUACGGGAGGCAGCAGUGGGGAAUAUUGCACAAUGGGCGCAAGCCUGAUGCAGCGACGCCGCGUGAGGGAUGACGGCCUUCGGGUUGUAAACUUCUUUCACCAGGGACGAAGCGCAAGUGACGGUACCUGGAGAAGAAGCACCGGCCAA